UAAGACUUUUAUCCUGGGUCUGCGGAAAAAUUUUUUUGUACCUAAAGUUUUAUUUUUGCUUAGGAUUUUAGUUUAUUUUUUUUUUACAUACAAAAUUUUUUGUUUAAAUAACGAUUUAUGUAGUAUUUAAUAUUAUAUAUUAAUUUACUUUAGAUUUAGAAAUUGAUAUGAGUUUUAAUAAAUUUUGUGCCAGCAAUUGCGGUUAUACAAAUGAUGCAAUUAAAAUUUUUUGGUUAGUAAUUAAAUGUUUAAAUUUUUAAUUAAAAUUUGUUAUUAAAUUUUUUGGGUGAAAUUUUAAAUUUAAUAUAAGUUUGUUUAUGUUUUUUGAGGUUACUAAAAUUUUCUUUUAGACUAGGAUUAGAUACCCUAUUAUUGAAAUUGUAAAUAUUAAAUGCCUGAUUAUUAAUAGAUUAUUUACUUGAAAAUUAAAGAUUUUGGCGGUAUUUUAGUCCAUUCAGAGGAACCUGUCCUGUAAUCGAUAGUCCACGAGUUAUUUUACUUUUUCUUUAGGUUUGUAUAUCGUCGUGGAACGAAUAUUUCAGAAGGAUUUAUAAUAUUCAAUAAUUAUUAUUAUAGUUAAUGUCAGAUCAAGGUGCAGCUUAUGAGGAAGAAGAGAUGGGUUACAAUAAAUUUAUUUUUGGUUUACUUUUAUAUUAAUUUGGUAAUAAAUUGGAUUUGAAUGUAAUAAUUUUUAGACUAUUAUUGUGAUUAAUUGGCUCUAAAAUAUGCACAUAUUGCCCGUCGCUCUCAUUUAAUAUGAGAUAAGUCGUAACAUAGUAGAUGUACUGGAAAGUGUAUCUAGAAAGAU
rnacentral:ncRNA from 1 species